UGAUAGCGAUGAAGCGUGAGGUUGCUGCCCGGGAAAAAUCAUAAUCCCAGCAGGUUUUCCGUGGAGCGAAUGUCAAGUUUUAAACUGACGACAA
rnacentral:ncRNA from 1 species